ensembl:lncRNA
GGCUGCCAUGACAAGGGCAGCUUUUCUCUACCAGGCCAUUUUUUCUUUCACCAUGCCAUUUCUGCCUGAGAGCUGACGAAGCAAGGACCGAACCCACUGAAAGUGCUUGGGUUCAAAACCCAAAGCUACCAGUUACCAACUGUGUGUCACUGGGACACUGCAAUUCCAAGAUGGAGCAGCCAUUCCUACUUUCCUCACAUAUUGGAUGAAGCCCAAUUGAUUGCUUCUUAGCUGACAAUACAAGUUCAGUUCAGGCUCCCAAGUCCAGGGGACCAUCUCUGCUGCCCACUGAAUCCAGAUCUGAAGUUCGGCCCCUCCUCAGAUUGCCCCAAAGAAUCCACUCAGAAAACUAAAAGUGAAGAAUGAGAAUUUCAUUGAGGAUUUCAGAGAGAAGACAGCACAUGCUCUCCAGGAAGCUGCAUUAGAAGCCACACUAAAUGACCUCUACUUACUCACAUAAUGGAUAAAUCCACGCUAUAGAUACCCAAACACUGAUUAUCACCAACCUUGCUUGUGGCAGUUGUACUGCUAUCAUGGUUAUGUAAUUUAACUCAUUAUAAACAGACAAAAUAUAAACAUAAAAUCCAGCUGUCACUUCUAUCAAAAUUCAGUUGAAUUCUUUGUACAUACUUGAUAAAGGUACACUUUUAGAGAAAUUACUGUCAGAUUUGAUCUCAAAAGAAGAUCACUAUAAAAGAUAAGGGGUUAACAGUAAACUUCUGGAAGGAUUCUAUACUGAGAUUGCUUCUCAAGUUUCUUUUAUAUCAGUGCUGCAAUUUUAAAAAUAACAUAAAAACUAGAAUUCACACAUAAUGAUGCAUCAUGAAAUGCCAAGUAUAAGAAAGAUUAAGUAUUCCAAUCACAGACACUUAGCUAGAAAAAGACCUUGACCAGACAUCAAAUGAUGAGUAAAUGAACACAUACUUCAUGUGUCUUAGGUUAAAAUAAACUGUAUAAAUGUGUUUUUUAUGAUGUUCUGAUUUAACCUUUUUUUUUUUCAUUAACUGUGUAACUGCUCCUGUCACAUCAGAUUACACAAUUGACAGGCCCGAAUGAUUUUUCAGAGCCUAUAUUCUUAACCAGGAAUUUGUGGAUAGGCUUCAAAGAGCAAAGCACUGAAUUCAUGUAUGCAAAACACUGCAUCCAUGGGGCAUGUGACUGUUUAGGAGAAAGUUCCUAUCACUAUCAUUUAUGAGAAAAGGAAAAACAUGGAAACAAAGUCUUUGUAAAUAGGGAAGGGUGGAGGGGGUGAAGGGAGGGCAGGGGAAUGGGAAAAAAAUAAGAACCAAGAUACAUCAUGUAAAGGUACAAGAUCCCAAUGAUGAAUAUAACUAUAUUGUAUACCUAAAAUGUACCAAUAAACUAAAUGGAAAAAAAAGUGAUCUCCUAAAAAGCUACUAGACUGCUGCCUUAACAGGGUGACCGAUUU